rnacentral:rRNA from 1 species
CGUGAGACAGUUCGGCCUCUAUCCGGUGUAAGCGUUUGAUAUUUGAGAGGGGUCACCACUAGUACGAGAGGACCGUGGCGAGCGAACCUCUAGUGUGCCAGUUGUCACAUCAGUGGCAGUGCUGGGUAGCCACGUUCGUAACUGAGAAGCGCUGAAAGCAUCUAAGCGCCAAACAGGCCUCAAGACGAGAUAUCGAAGAUCCCUGGAAGACUACCAGGUUGAUAGGCGGCAGGUGUAAAAUUAGCAAUAAUU